UUAUACAUGUUUGUAGGGUUUAGCUUUACUGCAGCGUACAUCCAACAGUCACAGGAAUAGGAAAACACUUGGAUGGGCGAGGUGGCAUCACGUUCAGCACUUCCACUAAAAAUCCUUGGAGAAAGGCAGGUCAAGUGAUAGGACAUGUUUCCAUUGCCACAGGUAGUUCAAGCCCCAAAUCUGUGAGUGAAACCUUCUGCUGCUCCAACAGCUGGGAUGCUGAUCUCUGAAAAAGGAACUGUUUUAACUUUUGCAACUCCACAUCAUCAAAGGCAGCACCAGUACCAAUGGAGACUUCCUCCAGCAGCAAUGAGAGGACAGCUAAAAUUAAAUGCUGGAGUAUGCUCAUCUACAGGCAUGAAAUCAGGCUCUCAUAUUAAGUGGAGCCACAUGGUAUUAUCAUGGUGGAAGUGAAUAACAACAGUGCUGUUGGAAAUCUGUAAGACUGUGUGCCAACAUCCGAAAGUACUGAGCCAUUAUUCAUUUUACAGCAAGAAAAGGCCCGUAGGUGAAAAAACAAGCUCAUGGCACAGCUGCACCUAGAAACAGCACAGCUGUCAGCUGGGAAGGAGGGAGAUUUUCAGUUUGUGAAGGAAAAGAGCAAGAUCUCAUGUGACACUUCUGAACUGCGUGAAGAGUCUGUUUUUGACCAUGGUGACUAUGGACAAGACUUGGUGGCAAAGACUGAAUAUUUUCUCAUGAUCUAAGUAUUAUUGCAACUACACCCCAGCUUCUCAUUAUCUGGAAGUCCUACACCUCAUCUGCUUCUAUGGAAACAUCUCCAUCAGGUGCUUCAUGUUCUGUGCUUUGUAAUGUACUUAAACAAGUGAGUUGGAUCUUUUCCAUUUCUUUAUGCAUGGGACACUAAAGUCUGGGAAGUAUAGGAGAAUGAUAACCAUGAACACGAAUAUUCCCAAUGAGGCAUCAUGUUUUCAUCCCCCAAUCCUACCAGAAUCCUUCCACAGCAUAUUUGAGUGGUAGAACACAUUUUGUGGCUUCAGCAUCAUCAAAGCAGUUAGUUAGCUAUUUUUACUAUUGCUUUGGGUCAAAAUAGCAUGGCAAUGGCUAAUUUUCCUUUUUUAGAGUGAACUCAGAACUUGGGUUAAAAAUGUCACAGGAUGGGAAAGGAGAGGUGACCUUUCAAGCCCCAAGUUCAGAAGGGACUUCUGGGAUUUUGUCCCAUGCUUAAUCUAUGUCUAUGCUGACAGUCCAGCGGAAAAGCACGAAGGUGAUUACACCAAUACAGCACAAUCACUGACUUGCCACUUAUUUUCAAAGCUGUGUUUAAAAGUAAAAUGCCACUUCUUAGACUUCCUCCCUUGCUACACAGCCUGCUUUAAUGUUCCAUCAAAACAAAGAAAACAACUGUUCCCACAUUAGGCAUACAUUAGCUAUAGGGAAAAAAAGGAAAAACAAAUCAUUAUUAUGUGCUUUGGAAAAGGAAAGGAGCCAGGGUGUGUGCCCAGACGACAAAUUUCUAUAAUCUCCACACCUAUAAUUUACUUCAGAAAUGUGUGGUUACCUUGAAGAAGAGAGGGAUCUUUCCAGCUUGCCAGUAUAAUGAAUGAUUCAGGUGUGAAUGGAAAUACAUGAAGGGAAAAGUAAAGAUCUAAGGAAGAUGGAGUUUCAAAACUGUAAGGCUAAACAAUGUCUCCUCAGACCUCACCCACUCAAAUUCCUGCCCCACAACUCACCAAAAGGAGACAAACUGUCUUGAUACUGGCACUCUACUGCAGUCAGGAGAAAAAGAAAAAAACAGGCAAGUACUGAAACCCACAGAACAGGUGGUAAAGGUGGCAUUUCAAGCACUAUCAGAUCAUUCUGUGAGUUGAGAAAAGAUCUUGACAGACUUCAGGUUAUUGAAAAUGGAUCCAAACAAGAGCUGAGGCUGGCCAAUUUCUCUCUCCUUAAUUACAACAGUUUCUGCUGUGCACUCACCAGAAGAAAAAAACAAAAAGGCAUUUGUAUGGGAAGUACUACCUGUACUCAUACAUCUUAUUCAUGAUCCUGAAUGCAGAAGAUGUUCAGAACACAAAGGAACAGUGGCUACUUAAUUUGCUCGUGAACAGAAUAAUUUAUGCCAACUGCGCGCACAAGGCAUACUGGCAAGGACUGUUUUCCUCAUUACUUGCCUCGGAAACAAUCUUUACAAAUCCCACCAGUAAUAGAAGAUUAAAAAUUAGUCCAAAUAGAUCACUUGAAGUGAACAAAAACAUUCUCCUUAUCAGAAAUCAGCAGUGUAUGCUGAUGUAUUUGUUUUUCAUACCAUCUUCAACAGUCAUCCAAGAACCUAGUAACAAUGAAAAGCAAACCCAUCAAGUCUGGUACAAAAACUGCCCUGCAUUAUAACACAUUUGUUUAGUGUGUCUAGGGACCCUACCUCAGCUGUUUGAAAGUUGGUUGUCCCAGGCUGUGCUGACCACCUGGUGUUUCUCCAUAAGCAGCAGCGCUGUCAGGGGCGGUUUGGGUCCCCUUUCACAGAAACAUAUUUUAGGAUUAGAAUACGGCCUAUCACAAUGGCACAAGAGGUAAUGGUUUUAAACUGAAGGAGGGGAGAUUCAGGUUAGACAUGAGGAAGAAAUUUUUUACAGUGAGGGUGGUAAAAUACUGGCCCAGGUUGCCCAGAGAGGUGGUCGAUGCCCCAUCCCUGGAGACAUUCAAGGCCAGGCUGGACAGGGCUCUGAGCAACCUGAUCUAGUGGAAGAUGUCCCUGCUCUUUGCAGAGGGCAUUGGACUAGAUGACCUUUGAAGGUCCUUUCCAACCCAAACUAUUCUAUGAUACUAACAGCUUUCCAGAAAUACGUAUUUCUCUCUGCUGAAUGAGGAGGCAGCUUGGGGUGACAAGGUCAGGCCAAGGCUGCAGUUCAACAGUACAGUAAAUACAGUCUAAGAGCUCCAGCCUAGAUUUUUAACAGCUCAACUUUUUAUCAGCAGGCCUUAUUCUAGACUUGGCAUUAUCCAUGCUCUCACGGCCAGGAGAAAGCCAGCAUAAAACAGCAUAAAUGUGAUAGCAUGUGCUCAGGCUGAUUUCAUAGGAAAGCAGAGAUGCACCCGCAUGGGAUGAGGCUCAGGUUCAGGCACUUCAUACAGAUUAGCAAUGGUGAAACACCCCUGGGGCAGCCACCAUUUUAGCUGCCGGAGGGCUGCUGACCCUCUGGGGUGCCACAUGGUGGGCCUUGGGGGAAGCAGGAUUGGUGGCCUCCCUGUCCCUCUGGACUCAGGUCACCACAGAGCUGCUCUGUGCCCGGCACCUUCCGGCGAGGGAGGUGACAGCAGGUGGAUCGCCAGGUGUAUGGGCUGGGCUGUCUUCAGUGGGAGAUGGUCACCUGGCUUGUAACAUCCUGCCUCUGCUGCCUGCCACCAACGCUGGGUUUGCUCCUUGGUUCCUGCCUUCUCCACAUAAGAGAAGGCGGGGAGGGGUUGUGAAAAAAAAAGGAGCAACAAGCUUUUUAAGAUUUUGGCCCCAUGAGCAAUUGACUCACAUCAGUCAUUCCUUUGAAAUAUGGGAGAUGUUUGUGGAGGCAGAGGAUCACAGCUCAGCUCUGUACAAGCUGAUUGUUUCCAUCAAAGAUUUAAAUGACUGCCACGUGCAAAUACAUGGAGAAAAAGGCUGAGCGUGGUGGCAGGCUCCAUCCUCCUGGGACCCCUCAAGUACCCAGUGGCACAGGGGUGCUGCAAGGCAUGGGAAGGUUCUUCAGCCAUUUGGGACUGCGAUUUAGACCGUCAAUCUGCCUGUAAGUCAGGUAUCAGAGGUCACACUUAAUAAGAAUUUUAGCUCAGGGCUUAUGCUUUAAAGCAAAUUUCACGCGUUUCUGUGGCAGCUUGGGGCCCGUCUUUCGCAGGAUGGUGCCAGGCUGGAGUUACAGACUCAGCCCGUGCCCAAGUAUUUCCUAGAGGGAAGCACUCAGAUGCUCCUGUUUGGUGUGUAGGUAGGUUUCAAACUCACUGUAAGGCACCCCUGCCUGCCUCAUGUUGGGUGCAUGGGUGUUUGGAUUGCACCUCAAGUAGCCUCUUGGCUCCAGCCUUGUGUGUCUCUCUUCCUCAUGGGUAGAUUCCUCACAGUCUGAGGCAGUGACAGUCAGGAAAACAUGAGGGACAUCAAUACUGUCCUUAGAGUAAGGCAUCUGUGGAACUGCUGUGAGAUAGCCUGGUAGUGAGCAGAGGAAAUGCCAUUUGUGCAACCAGGACUCUUGUUAACUUACUAAUACAAUGUUAUAAUGUGUUCAUUCAUUAUAAAUUAUUGCACAGCCCAGAAAUGCAGAUUUGUUCCACAUCACUGUUUGAUUCUAGGAGAAGUUAAAUGGUACUUGCACACAAUUGCUUUUUGUGUCCUUCCUAUUGACCUGAAGUAUUUGAUAUCUAUUUGAAUGCCAUGACAGAGUCUGAAUAAGACAUAUACGGAGAAUGCAGAAAAGAUAGGCUGUUUCUUUGUCCAAAAGUAGGCAGCUCUGGCUGGUAAGAGUUUGUCUCUUGUGUUUCCAAUAAAAUAAAUGAGCUUGAGAGCUAUCUGUGCUGCUAGCAAGUUGCUGAUCCUCACCUGAGCUGUCCAGAGAUGAUUAAUCUUUUAAAACAUAUUUUUAUGUUCAUGAUAUCCAAAGAAGAGUUGCUGGCUAAUUUGGGUGGAAAGUUUUGCACUGCUUUUAGGAAUGUGAAGCUAAAUCUUUUAAUCCUGGUCUGGCCUUCAUAAACUUGAAGAAGGAAGAAACACACAUGACAAGAAUAAGCAUUACACAAACCCCAUUUUAGUUUAUUCAAGUAUUUUCCAAACAUCAGUCACUCCCUCUGUAGAAAAUAUGACAGACCAGAGGCAUAGGAAUAGGAGGAGGCAGAGGAAAGAUGCAGGAGGCUUCAGAUAUAUUAUUACAUACAUAAAGACAUGUCAGUUGUAUUUUAAUACAGCAAGGAUACGACUGAUUUCAUGUGAAGGGGAAACCGGGGCUGAAAUUAAGAAAGCUGCUCUUGUUCAGGGCUCCAGCUUUGGAACUAUCCAAUUGCAUCAGGCUCAGGCUUGUUUCUGAAUGCUUUUGUACCUUUUACUGCUCAAUAAAACACUUCGGAGAUGUGAACAGCCUAUGAUGUAGAUGUAGAUACAGAUAUGCUUUCCUGAGUCAGCAGACAGCCUAAAACAGUCAUUCCAGAGCUGCAGCUCUUUCCAUCCAUCUCCAGGAGGUAUUUACUCCAAGUUUUACUGUCCUGAGGUGCUGCUCACACAACCUGUCCUGGUAACACUGGGCAGGACAGAGGAAGAAAGACAAUACAGUGACCUUCCUUCCUGAACAAGUAGAGAUUUACCUGCUGCUGGCAAGGUAAGAGGUGCUGCUGGACUAAUGUUCUUGAAAGGAAAGACAACUAUGCUGAAGCUUCUGGGGAAGGAGAAGUACCCUACACCACGCUUCCAUUUCUCAAAAAAAAAGUGGCCACCAUCACACCAUCUUGUUGGAGUCCUGUUGUGCUGGUCCAUGGAUUGCCAAACAUAGCUCUCUGGGAAAGAGAACAACAAGCAAACAUUUGCGAAACCGUCAUUGGAAAUGUAAGCUCAUCCUUGUUGUGCCACUUGUGUAAGACCUCCAGCCUGCAUCAUGUUUUGUCUCAGUGCAGGGGUCUGCCUGUCUUGGGCAAAUCACAGGGCCAGGGACUACUUAGAACAAUAACAUUGGGCAGAUUAAUGUCCCACAGUUUCUCCAGCACCUCUGUUCACAGCAUAACAAUUUCACAACAGCAUGCAUGCAAAUAAACAUCAGAGCUGAUCUGAGCUGGCUGUGCAAACCUCCAGCCAGAAACACCACACUUUGCUCGAGGGAGCCGCUUGAGCUGUCUUGCUAAUGGUAUGAAAACAAACAUAGUAUUGUGAGGCUUAAUAUUGGUAAACACUUGCAUUUACUUUGCUGAGCAUGGGUGGAUCUCGUAUGAAAAAAUGACACCUAAUGGUUACUUUCUAAUCAUAUUUCUUCACACACCACCCUCCAGUUUUACCCUCCUCACACCUGUAAAUUAAUAUUGGAACUUUGGCAUGCUGUGAUUUCUUUUACUCCACCUUCUCUGACUUCUUAGCGCAGAAACCAUUUGUUGCAGGCACUGUAUGUGUACAAACUUUAUGCUCUUCAGAAGUACCUUUGUGACAACAGUACAUAUUCUGGCUUCUGAGGAAGUUUGUGGUCCCAGUGGACUGAGGCAAUGUAUGAAAAAUGCAAGGACUCUUCAUGGAAGGGUGGCAUGAGCAGCAUGCCAGUGCUUAAAGCUACAGUCCCUGGAGCUGGGAGUUGAAGGAAGAAAGGAGAAAGCUUAUCAGUGUGAUCUCAUGGUCUGUGGAGGGGUGAUACACAGAUCCAAAGGUUGUACACACACGUGGCUGAGCUCUAAAGCUAUGCCAGCAUUUGAGGAGCUUCCUGAGCUGUAAAAGCUCUCUUGUAUGGAGCUCCACACCCACAGCAUUUGUAUCUCAAGCCCUUGGGGGAGAUGGGGGCCAGGCACAAAUAGAAAUCCAGGAAUGCUGCUAUUAAGAUGUUCAUCUGCAACUUUUGAGAUUCACAGUGGUUAUAAGCUUGUGGUUUUCAUAACAAGCAAAGGUAGAUAGUAGCAUGGAUUUCUUAGGAUAAUUGGUCUUUGCAUUAAGAGGAAGAUUCACUGCUGUCAACUUACGAUGUUUGCAGUUGUAGUUCUCCACAGACAAUGAAGUGGAAAUAGAUGCUUCUAGGGCAUGGUUAAUCUUGUCUUCACAUAGAUAUCUAAAAUAGGUCAGAUGAAUCAUGUCCUCUGAGCAUUUCUUUCCACUGACUACAAAGGGAGCCUGUCAUCUAUAUUACAAAUGUGUAGAGUGUGGUGUAGGGAGUUCUUCAGAAAGAUAUUCACUACAAAUGUGUGUGCAGAAGCAGCCUUUAAGUUUAUACUUCAAUAUUUUAUGCAUAGAAAAGAUGGGAAGUGUAAAUAUGUCCUCAGGGUUGAACAAUAUGUAUUAAUACAUUUCAGUUGCACUCUCUGGGAGAACAAGCAUCUAGAAAAUCAGCAGGAAAGAGCUAAGGCAAAAAUUUUAGUGCUACUAUACAGUUCAUAGUGACUCUCAAUACAUACGUUUAAUGCCAAUUAAACUUAUUUAUUUAAAUACUUAUUUAUUACAAACAAUGCUGGUGAAGUUUAGGAUUGGUAUUCUUGGCAAAGUAAUUCCAGUUUUCCCUCACAUGUUGUCAAGGAGGUUGCACACAGAGAAGCUGCACACAUGGAAGGUGAGUAGUGUGGAGCUCCCUUUGUCCAUGGCCGUGGGGAUCUUUCAGCUGCCUGUAGGAUCAUGACAGGCCCACUGCACGUGUUUCCAUAUCCUUAGGCCAAUGUCCUUGCAGAAAGCUACUACGCUUCCCAGAUGAGUGGCAGAGGAGUGCGUUAUGACUUGGUUGUGUCCCUCCCUGGGACUGUAGGUGUCAAUGACAGGAGAACCAACAACAGCAGCAUCCCCUCUGCUGCCACAGUCAGCCCCUGCCUCUCUGCCCAGGGCUCCCGCAGCCUCACACCAGGGUUGCCCAUCCCUCAUCUCCCUUACAGCCCAGAAACACCUGUCCCAGGCCAACCAUGCCACCAACCCCAAUGUGACACUCUGUGGCAUUCUACCCACUGGCUGGUGCCAGUAGCUCAUGUGAGACUCAGCCCUUGGCUACUCGCAGAAAAAGGUGGGGAGCUCCCUUUGCCCAGAGCCAUGAGGAGCUUCCAGCAAAAAAUGAUGGCGCACAGGUUGGAGCUAUUUUAUCUGUCCUGUAGGGCGCUGACAAUUCUCCAGCUGAGUGGCAGAGGAGGUAGAGCACAGGAGCAUGCCAUGACCUGGUAAUGUCCAGCUGAAAUACAAAGGAGAAGCAACAAAGGAGGAGCAGCCACCUUCCAUCACCAUGGGCAGCCCCUGCCUCCCUGCCCUGACCUCCUGACCCUCGCUCACCCAGUUCUCUGUAUACCCAUCCAGGGCUGGCUGUGUCACCAACCCCGACAUUCUACCUGCUGUGAAAUGGCUACAAGAUCACCAGGGCUAAUGUCAGGAGCUGGUGACUGCCUGUUGUGACCUGACCAUAACAUCAGCAGGGCUGGUGCAUCACUGUGACAUAGCUAAUUCACCAUUCCAGUGAGAAGAAACAAAUGAACCAACAAAACCUCAUCAAGUGAUAAAGCUGGGGAGGAAAAUUAAACAGCAAUGUAAAGAACAGUAGCUUAGUAGAGGUUAAAAGAGAGUUAAAGCACCAGGUCCUACCCACUGUGUAAUUUUAAAGAUUUGUGUGGUACUUGCUGGUGAUACUUGUGGAUUUGAAAGCUAAAUUCUGGAAGAAAAAAAGCUUGUAAAAUUGACUGAAGGUAGGAAAUAAAGGCAUGUCCAGUGCACUCAGGAUUGGCUGACAGUGCUGAGGAGCAGCAGAGAACUGCAAGACUCACAUCUGUCUUUCCCUGAAAGAGAAGUGGACCUUCUUUGCUUACUUGGAGAGAGGUAGCUGGAGGCCAUCCUCCCUGAAGAAAGGCAACCAGAUGUUUCAUGAAAGGAAGGAAACUUAAAACUAUGAAUCCCCGGGGGAGAUACCAUGUUAACCCUCUUGUUUUUGUCAGGUUCUUCACUAGUUCCUCCUCAUUUGGGCUACCACCUCCCAGUCCCUCCUGUCCACCGCCAAUGCCUCUGAGUGGUAUGACCACAUUUUUCUGCUAUGAAAAUCCCAGAGCCUGGCUCCCAAGGGAUCUUGCUAUUGAAAAUGCAGUAUUAGUCCUCUUGGGCUUGGGUUUCUUGUUGUUUGUGAACUGCUCAUUAAGUAAUCAAAUAACAGCAUAGUAAAUAAAUAACGUCUUGCCUCAGAAAGGCUCAAAUACGCAAGAAGUAAGUAAAACUUGAUUCAUUUUACAAACACAUAAUAACUAAAAAGUAAGACAAAACACACAGUGACUAACCCGUUGGGUGAAAAUACUUCACUGGAAUUUAGAGCAGUUUGCUGCCUGUUAUGUACAAAAUGGCUGCAAAGGAGCUAUUAAAGUCUCUCAAAUAAAUACAGUGCUUUGUGUGUUUGUUUGUUUCUAGUUAGAGGUAUAGAGUCAUUCAAAAGCCCAUGUGCUGUAGAAGCUCUGCAGCGUUUGCUUUGUAGUACAGAUAGUGCCUAACCGCUACUUUCCUCUCUCUUGAUCACUAACGAAAACAGACCAUAUAGAGAUGAAAGUGUUCUAAAUCAGUGCUCUGUGUCAUUUCCCACUUACUUUGCACUUUUCUGACAGCUGAAAAGCUGCAAUAAAUUGAGUGCAUGCACACCCACAGAGAAUGACAGUACUACCAUAACCUAGCCUCUCAGGACAUGUAUUUUCUUCCCCAAGGGACUAUAUUGAAAAAUUAUCAAAGUGGAGGGGUUUUUUUGGUGUUUUCUGCUGUGGUUUUAACAUUAAAUUUUCUUUAUGAGUUGAUUUUUCCUACUACUUUUCAAAAAAUCAGAACAACGUUUUAAAUUAAAUAAUUAAAAAUAAAUCUGAUGCUAUAGCUAAAUAGCAGUUUUAUACUAACACAUAUAUGAACAAAAAAUCAGGCAUGUAAUAACAAUAGAUUUUUUUUUCUUUUGGUCCCGUUCCUCUCUCUCAUUUCUUUCUUAUUGCUCCUUUCUUUCCUUCUUUCUUUCCUUCUUUCUUUCUUUCUCUCUUUCUCUCUUUCUCUCUUUCUCUCUUUCUUUCUCUCUUUCUCUCUCUCUCUACUUCUCCUUCCUUGUCUCCUUCCUUCCUCCUUCCCUUCCUCCACACUUUCCCUCUUUCCCUCUUUCUCCUGUUAUUUCUGCCUUUCUUUCUUUUCCCCAUUUCUAAUUUUGUUUUGUAGGUAGUUGGAGAUCUGGUUUAUUUUAAAACAAUGAAGAACGCAGAAUCCCCUGAGGUAAAUUCAUUGAGUACUGGGAGGUCUUGGUAACACAAUUGAACUGGCACCAAAUCAAUAAAAACAGAACAGAAGAAAAAACAAUAAUUAAAACAUUCUGUCAAAAAAAUGGAGCAGUAAUUAAAAGAUGCAAACUAUUGUUUUGCUACACUAAUUACAUUUUAAUUUUCAAUAGCUUGCUGAAUAGUAUAAAAGCCUAUGCCUAUAAAAUGUCCCAGUGACAGUACUCUUUCUGCAACUAGCGUGAUAACAGUGUUUAUGUGCUGUAACAGAGUGGUAUGUGCUUUCAACUCUGUGUGGGUGAAACUAGCUUCCUUGUAAGAUAGCAUGACAACAAAAUUGUUGUUUGUUUUGUUUUUUUUUUUCUUCUCGUGUGGAAAAUUAUUACUCAACACACACACACACAUACACACACACAUGCACGCACAUAUACAUGCACCAAAAAAAGUGGGCUCAGUCCAAGAGACGCUCCGCUCAGGGCACUUCUGUUGACCUCAAUGGGAAUUUUGUGUGUGGCGCAAUAGCGGGUUGUUGGCCAGCAUGAAUACCCUACUUAGGUUUAGACCAUGUUGUUUUCUUCACGUGUUAUUGAAGGAUGAAGAGAAAAACAAACUGAAUUUUCCUAUUAAUAUACACCAUUUGCAACCCUAAACAUGCAACUUUUUCGGCAGGGUCCUAAUGACUUUUCUCACAAAACAAUCCUUAUAGGCUUCACUGGUCGAUACCCAUACAUAAAAGCAACAUAAUAAACCCCAUAUUCUGUACCGUUAUGAUUCAUGAUUGUCCUGAAAAAAAUUACGUGAUUCAUUUAGCUGCUUUUGAGAAGAGUUUGGGUGGCAAAUUUCCAUAGGCAGAUUUUAGAAACACUCCAAACCAAGGGUACAUGGAAAGGAGUUUGUUGUUACUGUUGUUUGCAGCAGCUCAACACAAAGCCAAAUUAUCCAGAUGAGUCCUGGCAAAAUCUGGACCCAUUAGCUACAAUCUGUGUCUCCAAAGCUAUAGUUUGAACACUCUGCCUUUCAUAUAAUCUCAUGUGAAUGACAGAGUUCUCCCAGAAAUGGGCAUCCCAUGUGUUCAAACAUGCCCCAAAAACAAUAGAUCCCUUCCAUCAAAGUGGGAGCAGUGGGGAAAUAAUUUCUCAGAAACUAAUCCCUGGAUUUCAGAUGCAUGAAAUCAACGAAAUGCCUCAAUCUAUGAAAAUGGUCAGCAUUGCCAAACAAUGUUUCACAACUGCAUAGCUUUUCUACAUUUGCAAUCUAAUUUGAAAUUAAUUUUAAAAAUAAUAAAUUAGAAAAAAAAAAAAAAGACUGCGCCAAAUGAUGGAACAAAAUCAACAUCCUUCAUACCACUGCAGCAAGAAGCACAAACAAAGAGGGUAAUAUUUUUAAAGAGAAAACUGAGCAAACAUUACCUCUCUUUUUGCCACUUUACGGUCCGCUUCGUAUCUUCCUAAAUUCACCUCUCAGUUACAUGUGCUCCUUUCCAUUCAGCUGCAAAGGGUUAACAAGCUAUAAAUCUGGACAACAUCAGUCUACUAUCUGGAAAUACAUAAAAAGUAAAUUUAAAAGGGAAGCCAGGAUAACAAUAUCACCAAAAUCAGGCUCACUUACACUGUAUACAACUUCUGUAUGUUUUUCUAAGGAGUGAUAAAGUGAUACUGAUCACACUGGCAGUAUUGGUACCUUUCAGAGAUGGAAGACAGCCUGGAGGUUAGGAAGGCUAACUACUAUAAAUAGCACUGCUUACAUCCAGUGUAAAACAGAAAUUACAUAUUUUCACACACCAAAGUUGCAAAACCAAAACAGAUAUAAAACCCAGAGCAAAAUCUGGAAAAAAAAAAAAAAAUCCUUUAGUUUAGAAAACUAGACCCUUAUCUUCUGGGAAUAGCCAAAAUUAAAGGAGGUUUCGUGCUGAUGCAAGAAUAAAUUGCUUCAAGAAUUAUUUCACAGACACAUAGUAUUCCCCAAAUCCCUAUUAUUAUGAUGCUAGUGAAAUGUCCCGAUUUACUGAAAUUAAACAAAGACAGAUAUUUAUUUAGAAUUCCUGUAAUUGCUACAACCAGUAAAUGUGUUUCAUCACCAUGAUUGCAAAAACAAAUACCUACCAGAGAAAUGCAGCUCACAGCAACACAGAACUGAACGGAAAUAGAAAUUUUGUUAAUGUUACGCUAAUGCUCGCAGCAGAAGUAUUUGAUUGAAGGGAAAAUAAAUCAAAAGAGCUAACUGUGGCUGAGCCAUGGAUCAGUCUCAGGGAGCAGUGAGCUGGGCAGCCCCUGUGCAGCGGUGUUACCACCAGACCAACUGCCAGGGCACAGGGCGAUGCUGGCCAGCUCAGGAGGGCAAGGUGGGCUUGGUCUGGGGCACUAAUGGUGACUGUGGGCCUGGUGCUACAGCAAGGGAGAAGGCAAGGACGUCCUUACAGCCCUUGCUUGUCUGCAAGAGCCUUGGGAUGCCAGAGCCAUGCUGCCUCCUGUGCACUGUCUGCAUGGAGGCACCAGCAUAUCCCGCCACUAUUCUGCCUCUCUCACCCCACCAGCCUCUGAAAAUCUCUCACCAGCCUCACUUGCAGAGCAACUUUGCAGACUCCAACUAUCACAGAUACGGCUUUGUUUUUUAGUGUACAAUAGACACCUUCUCUAAGGAAGAAUGUUGCGGCAGCACCGAAGUCAUAAUUCUCUCACCGCUCCUACAUAUGGGGGUUGCCCCAGGACUAGAGGAAAUGCAGGAGAUUUCCUCACAGCAGAAAGGGCAUAUGUGGCCAACUUGAUAUGGACAAGAGUGGAAAUCACCCUGUGGUUGGUACUUGUGGUACAGUCACAAAAUGCUCACACUGCCAGUAGCACCGUUUGUUCUGGAUAGAUCAUUGGAUCUAUCCUUUCAUGGAUCCCUGGAUACUCAUUUCACUGCCUUAGAAGGAAGAAGCAAAAGCAACAUCAAGGUACAGGUGUUUGUGUCUUCAUAUUUCUCCUACACUUGAUUCUUUGGAGCAUACAACGGCUGUGGUUUCACAGCUUGGCAGAACAGGCGUAUCACCAUUAUAAUCCGGCAAGCACCCUAAAGGCAGGGACAGGUUGUUCUGUGAUUGAAACCUGGCCCCAACCAAAUGAACUUCUCUACAUUGGCAAUGAAUCUCUGUGUCUGAUAUUGUUCUCUCAGCUCGGAUGGGAAUGCCAUUGGCAGCAGGAGAGGACAGAGACCUGCUGGUGGGCCAAGGUAGAGUUGCUUUCAGGUUAUAUGAGAAUCAGCUGCUCCAGUUGUGUGGUCAGAAGUCUAUAUGUGUUAGAAUUAAAUUUCUUUUCGAUCCUCUGUCUGAGUGACUUUUCAAGUUGGGGAUGAUGAUGUGAGAUAACCACAAACAGCUAAUCACAGUAUUUUGCAGUAUAUUUCCUCCUGCUGCUGUUCUUUCAAUUAAAGGAGAUGAUCAAGGCAAGACGAACGAAACUCAGACUUUACUACAAUUUGGAAGCUUAGUACUAGCACCCCUCUGC